UUGACCUCGAAUCAGGUAGGAAUACCCGCUGAACUUAACAU
rnacentral:rRNA from 1 species